GGACUACACGGGUUUCUAAUCCCGUUUGCUCCCCUGGCUUUCGCGCCUCAGCGUCAGUAGAGGUCCAGCGCGCUGCUUUCGCCAUCGGUGUUCCUUCCGAUAUCUACGCAUUUCACCGCUCCACCGGAAGUUCCGCACGCCCCUACCUCCCUCGAGACAGUCAGUAUCAGGGGCACUUCCACGGUUGAGCCGUGGGAUUUCACCUCUGACUUGACCGCCCGCCUACGCGCCCUUUAAGCCCAGUGAUUCCGAACAACGUUCGCACGGUUCGUCUUACCGCGGCGGCUGGCAC
rnacentral:rRNA from 2 species